CACGUAGGGAGCAAGCGUUGUCCGGAAUCAUUGGGCGUAAAGCGCGCGUAGGUGGCUUCGUAAGUCCGUUGUGAAAGUCAAAGGCUCAACCUUUGAAUGCCGAUGGAUACUGCGGAGCUAGAGUACGGAAGAGGCGAGUGGAAUUCCUGGUGUAGCGGUGGAAUGCGCAGAUAUCAGGAGGAACACCAAUAGCGAAGGCAGCUCGCUGGGACGUUACUGACACUAAGGCGCGAAAGCGUGGGGAGCGAACGAGG
rnacentral:rRNA from 1 species